CGCGGUAAUACGUAGGGGGCAAGCGUGUCCGGGAAUCACUGGGCGUAAAGCGUGCGUAGGCGGUUUUUCAAGUCUGGGGUGAAAGUCCAUGGCUCAACCAUGGGAAUGCCUUGGAAACUGGGAGACUUGAGUACUGGAGAGGCAAGGGGAAUUCCACGUGUAGCGGUGAAAUGCGUAGAUAUGUGGAGGAAUACCAGUGGCGAAGGCGCCUUGCUGGACAGUUACUGACGCUGAGGCACGAAAGCGUGGGGAGCAAACAGGAUUAGAUACCCUGGUAGUCCACGCCGUAAACGAUGAGUGCUAGGUGUUGGGGGUUCAUCCCCUCAGUGCCGAAGGAAACCCAAUAAGCACUCCGCCUGGGGAGUACGGUCGCAAGACUGAAACUCAAAGGAAUUGACGGGGGCCCGCACAAGCAGUGGAGCAUGUGGUUUAAUUCGAAGCAACGCGAAGAACCUUACCAGGGCUUGACAUCCCCCUGACCGGUACAGAGAUGUACCUUCCCUUCGGGGCAGGGGUGACAGGUGGUGCAUGGUUGUCGUCAGCUCGUGUCGUGAGAUGUUGGGUUAAGUCCCGCAACGAGCGCAACCCUUGAUCUGUGUUACCAGCACGUAAUGGUGGGGACUCACAGGUGACUGCCGGCGUAAGUCGGAGGAAGGUGGGGAUGACGUCAAAUCAUCAUGCCCUUUAUGUCCUGGGCUACACACGUGCUACAAUGGGCGGUACAACGGGAUGCGAGACCGCGAGGUGGAGCCAAACCCAAAAAGCCGUUCGUAGUUCGGAUUGCAGGCUGCAACUCGCCUGCAUGAAGCCGGAAUUGCUAGUAAUCGCGGAUCAGCAUGCCGCGGUGAAUCCGUUCCCGGGCCUUGUACACACCGCCCGUCACACCAUGGGAGUUGACAACACCCAAAGU
rnacentral:rRNA from 1 species